rnacentral:tRNA from 1 species
CAAAAGAUAAGCUAAAAAAGCUAAUGGACCCAUACUCCAUCGAUGAGAGUUAACCCUUUCUCUUUUUA